GUGCUUGCUUCAGUAGCAUAUAUACUAAAAUUGGAAUGGUACAGAGAAGAUCAGCACGGCCCCUAUGUAAAGAUGACACACAAAUUUGUGAAGCAUUCCAUAUUUGU
ensembl:snRNA U6 U6 spliceosomal RNA